rnacentral:rRNA from 1 species
UCCAGACUCCUACGGGAGGCAGCAGUGGGGAAUAUUGCACAAUGGGGGAAACCCUGAUGCAGCGACGCCGCGUGAGUGAAGAAGUAUUUCGGUAUGUAAAGCUCUAUCAGCAGGGAAGAUAAUGACGGUACCUGACUAAGAAGCCCCGGCUAACUACGUGCCAGCAGCCGCGGUAAUACGUAGGGGGCAAGCGUUAUCCGGAUUUACUGGGUGUAAAGGGUGCGCAGGUGGCAGGGCAAGUCAGAUGUGAAAGCCCGGGGCUCAACCCCGGUAUUGCAUUUGAAACUGUCCGGCUAGAGUGCAGGAGAGGUAAGCGGAAUUCCUAGUGUAGCGGUGAAAUGCGUAGAUAUUAGGAGGAACACCAGUGGCGAAGGCGGCUUACUGGACUGUAACUGACGUUGAGGCUCGAAAGCGUGGGGAGCAAACAGGAUUAGAUACCCCGGUA